AAAUAAAUAGGCGGUGUCUGAAUUAGAAAACAGGGGAUCCUGGGUGUUAAAGGACAAUCCACCCACAUUUGAGCCUUAGCUUAUUAGUGCGUGUGUAUGGUUGUUUACUCUAAUAUGGUAAGUGUCCGGGUGCAAGUUUUGGUGAUUAGCUAAACCAAAGUUAUUGUUAGUAACUGAAGUUAGUAAAAAUACUUGGUUUGGAUUUAGUGUGGCUACUAAUAUGGGUCUAUGGUCCUUGUAGCAUAGCUUCAAAAAUAAUUCAGAUUGACAUGCAGCUUAUGCUAAGGUCAGCCUGGGAUACAGAUGCAAUUAAGCAGUAACUUAAAAUCUUAUUUAUUUUGAAUAAAUAAAAUAAACUGACGAAUAAGGUAAGAAAACUUCACUUUGAAGAAGGACUUGUAAGUAAGGGCUAAAAAUAAAGUUGUCCUGAAUACAAUCAGAUGAGUACUAAUCGCCCGUCGCUCGCGGGGAAACCUGUGAAAAGUCGUAACAAGGUAGCAGUAACGGAAGUUGUUGCUAGACUAUAAAU
rnacentral:rRNA from 1 species